AAACCACUGUUCUAAAGGAUCUAUUGUGUUUUUUUUUGUCAAGGACAUGAAGGUAAAUUUACCUUCUACAUGACUUUCAUACUUGUUUUACAUGUAUACAAUUUAAAGCAUUAAACAAGCUAGUGGUUGCAAUGUUGAGGUUGUUCAAUGAUUUAAAGGGGAACUAUGCAACUUUUUUGGCUUAAUUUACCUUAAUAUAACAGGUUAAGAGUCAUUGUGAUGGUUCUAGAACACUUUAUGAGUCGAUUGGUCCCUGUUUCGACUCCCCCUUGGGCUUCUUGGCGGAAAAAGGGAAUAUGCAAGUUUCUCCCAGCGACCCGCCGCCCACUCUCGCAGGAGUCUCGGGUCUCGCGAAGCACCGAAUUGCUUUAUGGCACUACAGACCAACAAUGACGGAACCGGUGUAGGUACCACCAGGGAGUGUCUAAUAUGAGGAGAAUAAGCACUCGCUGGUUAGUUCCGGUUUUCUGGACUGGUUGCAGUAAUAAUAUCUGUCCACGCGGGGCGCUCGCAGGCGAGUCCAGAAUGAAUGGGAGCCUAUGGGGUUUUACCCUCAGAAUCCCCUUUUCUCACAAUGUAAUUAGUAAUUUUGUAAUUUGAAAAGUUGCGUUCAAAAGGUGAGGCUAAGAUAAUAAACUCAGCUGAAUAUUGCAUUUUUUAAGGUCAUGUAUCUGUUCUAAAAAGGUGUUUAAAAAAUGCGAUGACGUCACACAUUGUCAUACUGUCAGAGAUACUGCUUUACGGCAGUGUCUGAAUCACUUCGGCACUUCCGCAUCAUUCCCUUUUCUCGUGGCAUCCGCAAUGAUAACAAGCUGUUGGAGGUAAGGCUUUUUUUGCGUAAUACACCCGUUACAGAGUUUUAGUGAGCUAAUGAAAAAAAAAAAGAAAGGCGCGAAUGUUUUACAUAUGUAUGUUACUUACAGAGUGUUUUUUUUUAAUCCUCACUAGUGCCGAUGAUAAAGCUUAUUUUUUAGUAACGACAUCGCUAUUGAUUUCUAUCUAGUGCUAGCUGCUAUCAGCUGGCUGUCGGCUGAUUAUCUAUCUUUCUCCUGAAAUAGAAACCUGGAUUUGAAUCAUAAUUGUAACUUAAGACUGCAUAAACUUAGUUUACAUCAGUAAACAAUCUCCUAGAGAGCACAGUGUUCUGUUCUCCUCCUCAUGCUUCUUCCUUUCUUGAUCUCUACAGUUGGACCUUGAUGCUGUGACAACGGACAAGUCUUCUUCCUCUGUCCUUUUCCCCUGCCUCUGUUCAGUAUGUUCAGUGUUGUUGAAUAAUUUCUAAUUUUUUUGUUUAUUUACUAUUAGUUACUGUUCUUGUUAGUGUGAUGUUUGAAUAAACUUGCCUGUUGCUAUGUUGGUAUAAUGUUUGUAUAAUUAUUGUUUCAAUGUGUUACGUGCGUGUUUUUCCUCUGCUGUUUUGUGUGCUGUUCCAGGUACCACCCUCCCCAUCCGACUGAUCAGACACACCUGCAGCCCCUCAGCAAUCACGUGGAUUGCUAUAAAGCUGCAGGGAUGAAAGCCGACAUGGCCAGUGGGCCAGAUAGGCGAACAGAGUUGGGGUCGCUGUCGGUCGCGAGUCAGAGCUACGUGGGCUCUUCGUCGUGGCAUUGCUCCCUCAGUGGAGGGAUAGUGUUAUUGGUUCUUUCUGUGUUAAUAUAGGACUCAGUUAUGCAAUAAAUGGUAUAUUGGUUGAAAUCCUGCUACUCUCUUCUGUUCUUUAAACACCCGGUUUUAUAUUAAUUGUUGCCCCCCCCCCUUCCCCCUGGGCACCAACGGGGUGGGUCGUAACACAAUGUGACCUAGACCAUACUGCUCAUUUAACAAACCAACAUGUGUAGCUUAUAAUGUGUUGCAGGGCAGAGAAAUUAAAUUCAAUGGCUUAAAAUAAACCCAUCUGUAAAGAUCAGUGAAUGCAUAGAAAUCAAUGACAAGUGGUGCAGAUGGUUUUCCCUCUGUGCAAGGUCAUUAGCCCAUGACCUAGUAAGUCCUACAAAAAAAAACUACAGUAAUAGAAGAUGUUGAAGUUGUUAAAUCGUUAACAAACAAUUUGUAUGGAACAAUCGGUUAAGGUAAGUUAAGUGCUUGAGCCUCGACACUUUAGAGAAUGUCUAGCGCGCAACUUGAAUAAGCCAUGUGAGAUUUUACCCGGGCUCCAGCGCAACUUUCCUUACCAGGUGCAGCCUCAGGUAGCCUAGGACCAUUCAUACAGGAGCAAGCAACAACGUUACCUUAUUCUGUCCUUGGGAAACGAAACAAAGGACGAUCCGUUUCCACUGAUGGAGCAGUUUAUCAUUGCACAUUUACAAGGCUUUUUUCUUUUUAAACUAUCUUUAUUUUCGAAAAAAUAGACAAUGACGAAUGAAAUGAUAUUGAGCGGGACAUUGACUGUAUUAUUUAAGGUUGUCAUACCUCAUGUAUAUAACACAUUGAACAUUGAACACAAGAAAUGGAAGAAAUUCCAUUUGUACCCAUGUACUUUACCAUACAUAACUAUAAAAAAUAAAAGUGCCUGCAGGAAAAUAUAAAUACAGUACGCAAAAAUUAACUUCGACGGAAAGUCCUCCGAUUGUGCUUCAGCUUCAGAUGUCAUCAAGAGGGGUCGCUGGUCGUAAUCAGUCGCAAGUCCGUCCCUGACCAAUCAGCAUUCAUUAGCAGAAUGCUAGCGUGUACGGCCAACAACGGCCCAAACUGUAACAAAUCGAAAGGACAUAAGUACUCAUUCAUUUGGCUUUUGAGCUAUAAUCUAUAUUGAACUUGCGGAAUCUACAAUACAAUUUGCGAUAUUUCAAAGACAAGCAAGGAAGAGAUAUAUUUAGCCGUCUAGCCCCAUAGACUUCCUUUCAAUCUGGACUCGCCCGCGAUCACCGCCAGUGGAUGUCUAAUGGAACUACAACCAUGAUCGGUACAAUGGGGCAUAUAGGAAGUAUGGAAAGCCAAGAAGGCCACAAACUGGCCAUAGAAUGGCGCAGGAAAAGUGCUAAACCGCACGGAAACCGUACGGAAUCCGUGCGGUUUGGCAGGAAUUCCAUACGGAAUCCACAUGGAUUCCGUACAUUUUUUGCAUACCUAAUAGCCGCGGCUAUUAGUGUGAGCGACCACAGCUUGUAUUUUGGUCAUAUCUUAACACUGGACUGUAGGCCUUUAUAAAGUGUUGUACCUUCACUGUCUUUGGGUUAAAAAAAACUCCUUCAACUCAGUAUCCGUCCAACCGAAAACUCUGUCAGCUGCUGCUGCAGACGGUGUGCAGACAGGCUCGGAGUCGGCACCUCGUGCAUCAACUGUCUUUCAAAGCAGCGGUAGUAAUCACUCAACCGGACGGUGUAGAAAGUCCCGUCAGUUAAAAAUAGUAAUCCAGUUUUUAAAUACAUGUUAAAAUCGGCAGGAUAUAGAGCUAGUUAGCUUAAAAAAAAAGUCGCAAACAGUGUCAAAUGUGAUGGUUUCAGGUCGGCUCAGUAAGAUGAAUUGCUGCCACCUCCACUCCACCUGCCACCUCCACUCCACCUGCCGGCUCAGCUCCACCUGCCGCCACCUCCACUUCAGAGAAAUAUGUUGCAGAGGCUUGGGACGGCAAAAAAAAUCAUGUUUUGCUGUCCAGAAUUGGUCCUUACAAGCUGUUUUAUUUGGACAUCUGUAGGACAACUCCGGGUCAGGAAUUCGAGAGUGAGGUAAGCUUCAGUAUUUUUGUCUCCUUUAGUUAACUCAUACAACAAGGAAAUCUCCAAAGGCUAGUACACCAUAAGUUAACUGACUUCAUUUUCAAAUGGAUUUGCUUUCCCCAGGUGAUUAAUGCCACGCUCCUUAGAAUGGUCCCAAAGCAUAAUAGCCAAGGGGGCAAAAAGGCACUUGCCAUUGAUACAUACACAAUGACAAAAAUAUGGAACAGGAAGACUGCAAUUCUAAGGAAAUGUAAUCCAUCAUUGUAUGGAGUCAUUCUGGGGAUAGUGAAUGACCCAAAAUAUUGGAUACUCACAGUCAUCUUCCCCUCAGAACAGAGGAGCCUUGUGCUGGAUCCACUCGGCAACGACGGCUCCAAGAUAAAAAGAUGUCUACAGACCACAAGAGCAUUCAUGAGAGCAAGGAGCUGAAUGGUGUCCAGGUGGGAAGCAAACACUGUGCCACAUAGCUUACAGCAGGAUUUCACUUCAUGUGGAAUAUUUGCCAUCAAAUAUGCUGAGAAAGUCCUGGCAGAGGAGUCUCCUACUUUCCCAAACUCUGAAGCGGCAGUGGUUAACUACAGAUGGGGAAAAUUCUGUAACACUUCUCAAUGAGGCUGAUGAUCUCAGUGAGCUGUGCCACUGCUGUGGAGAGGGAGAAGAAGCGCGAGGAGGAGGGUCUCAAGACAGACCUGACGCCACUGACUGGAUCUAGUGUGUCACCUGUGGAAGGUGGUACCACGAGGGUUGUGUUGGGAGACCCGACAGAGAUCAUUUGUACAGCUGUCCUGCAUGCCCCCAGGCUCAAAUGUUCUAGUGACGUUUCUCAAGUUUUCCUGGUUCCAAUAAACGUCACUGGCGACUGACUGUGUUAAGUGUUAAUAUAUGUGUCAAGUGUUAAUAUAUGAUUACGCCCUUACUUUGAAGGGACAACGUGAUGACGUUACUACGUUCUUGUGAAGCAACGCGCGGGUCAACUGUCCCGUUGUUCUUUUGUUGUUGUUGGAACUGACUGGACAGUAUUCAGUCAUGUAUUCUAGAGAAUAA